CCUACGGGUGGCAGCAGUCGAGAAUUUUUCUCAAUGGGGGAAACCCUGAAGGAGCGACGCCGCGUGGAGGAUGAAGGUCUUCGGAUUGUAAACUCCUGUCAUGAGGGAGCAAGGCAUUGCGUUAACUGCGUGGAUGUUUGAUAGUACCUCAAGAGGAAGGGACGGCUAACUCUGUGCCAGCAGCCGCGGUAAUACAGAGGUCCCAAGCGUUGUUCGGAUUCAUUGGGCGUAAAGGGUGCGUAGGCGGCUAUGUAAGUCAGAUGUGAAAUUCCGGGGCUUAACUUCGGAACUGCAUUUGAUACUGCGUAGCUAGAGUACUGGAGAGGAGACUGGAAUUCACGGUGUAGCAGUGAAAUGCGUAGAUAUCGUGAGGAAGACCAGUGGCGAAGGCGAGUCUCUGGACAGUAACUGACGCUGAGGCACGAAGGCCAGGGGAGCAAACGGGAUUAGAUACCCCAGUAGUC
rnacentral:rRNA from 1 species